ACCAUAAUGCAACCCUAAUGCUAGCCAAAUGAAAUGUAAAUGUGAAGCACAUGGGUGCACAUGGCACAUGGGUGCACAAAUGAGCACAUGGGGAGGGGUGUGUCUAGUUUUUAUGUUCACCCCCUCCAUGGGCUUUCUAGGUGUUUUAGGUGCCAAAAUUAAUUCUAAGAAAAUUACAAAUAAAGUUCCUAUGCUAAUUUUGACAAGAAAUUAAAGUCUACUCUACACUAGAGUUUAUGACAUUUGAACAUGUAAAAGAACGUCUUCUUGGAUCCUCUUGGCCAUAACUCUAUGGUUGGCCCAAAUCUACCCUUUGGUGGGCUUGCAUGUGGGCUUGUGCUUGGGCCUCUUCCAUCAUCCCCUCCCUCUUGAAAAGGAUUUGUCCUCAAAUCCAUUGCUUAUUCUUCUUCAUGACUAGGGGAAUGGAUGUGGCUGGAUGGUGUCCAUCAUCUCCUUCUCCUUGAGAAGAUCUAUCCUCAGAUCUAGAGAUUUGAUCUCGGAUAGCAGCCUCUUGCUUCUUCAACUAUGCUUGCCCUCCCGGAUCAAACGUCCACCUAGGGGAAUUAUCUAAUAAAGCAAAUGAGUUAGUUGAAGCAGUUAUAUACAAAUCAAUUUUAUGAAGUUGCCAUUUUUGUUUUUCUUUUGUUUUUGGCAACUUUUUGCAAUAUUUCUCUUUUGAUGGUUGCAUGUGUUCUCUAAUCCUCUCAUGCUUUGUAAAAUUUUCAAUAGUGGUUACUUGUUCCUUAGGCAUAAUUCCUUUAGGAAGUGGUAACAACACAAAAAGAGAAAGAGGACUAUGUUC
rnacentral:lncRNA from 1 species